GCUUCUCAUCUUUGGAUCUAGAUCUUUUCUUUCAGAUCUUGAAGAAGAUCGUGGCGCGAACUCUUUCAUGUAGAUCCGAUGAGAUCUGAAUCAGAUCACCAUAAAGAGAAGAAGAAUCCUUCUUCUUCUCUCCUUCUCUCUCUUUUCUCUUCGAGUUGUUAGCCCUAGUACAUACAGAUGUAUGUGGACCGAUGACAACUCAGGUCAAAAAGGAGGAUACUCCUAUUUUAUCAUCUUUACAGAUGAUUUAUC
rnacentral:lncRNA from 1 species